rnacentral:rRNA from 1 species
UACGUAGGGGGCGAGCGUUGUCCGGAUUUAUUGGGCGUAAAGAGCUCGUAGGCGGUUUGUCGCGUCUGCCGUGAAAGUCCGGGGCUCAACUCCGGAUCUGCGGUGGGUACGGGCAGACUAGAGUGAUGUAGGGGAGACUGGAAUUCCUGGUGUAGCGGUGAAAUGCGUAGAUAUCGAGAGGAACACCUGCGGCGAAGGCGGGUUGCUGGGCUGACACUGACGCUGAGGCGCGAAAGCUAGGGGAGCGAACGGG